UGGCUCAGACGGUAAAGCGUCUGCCUGCAGUGCAGGAGACCUGGGUUCAAUUCCUGG
rnacentral:tRNA from 1 species